rnacentral:rRNA from 1 species
AUUGAACGUUGGCGGCAGGCCUAACACAUGCAAGUCGAGCGGUAGCACAGAGAGCUUGCUCUCGGGUGACGAGCGGCGGACGGGUGAGUAAUGUCUGGGAAACUGCCUGAUGGAGGGGGAUAACUACUGGAAACGGUAGCUAAUACCGCAUAACGUCGCAAGACCAAAGUGGGGGACCUUCGGGCCUCAUGCCAUCAGAUGUGCCCAGAUGGGAUUAGCUAGUAGGUGGGGUAACGGCUCACCUAGGCGACGAUCCCUAGCUGGUCUGAGAGGAUGACCAGCCACACUGGAACUGAGACACGGUCCAGACUCCUACGGGAGGCAGCAGUGGGGAAUAUUGCACAAUGGGCGCAAGCCUGAUGCAGCCAUGCCGCGUGUGUGAAGAAGGCCUUCGGGUUGUAAAGCACUUUCAGCGGGGAGGAAGGCGGUGAGGUUAAUAACCUCAUCGAUUGACGUUACCCGCAGAAGAAGCACCGGCUAACUCCGUGCCAGCAGCCGCGGUAAUACGGAGGGCGCAAGCGUUAAUCGGAAUUACUGGGCGUAAAGCGCACGCAGGCGGUCUGUCAAGUCGGAUGUGAAAUCCCCGGGCUCAACCUGGGAACUGCAUUCGAAACUGGCAGGCUAGAGUCUUGUAGAGGGGGGUAGAAUUCCAGGUGUAGCGGUGAAAUGCGUAGAGAUCUGGAGGAAUACCGGUGGCGAAGGCGGCCCCCUGGACAAAGACUGACGCUCAGGUGCGAAAGCGUGGGGAGCAAACAGGAUUAGAUACCCUGGUAGUCCACGCCGUAAACGAUGUCGAUUUGGAGGUUGUGCCCUUGAGGCGUGGCUUCCGGAGCUAACGCGUUAAAUCGACCGCCUGGGGAGUACGGCCGCAAGGUUAAAACUCAAAUGAAUUGACGGGGGCCCGCACAAGCGGUGGAGCAUGUGGUUUAAUUCGAUGCAACGCGAAGAACCUUACCUGGUCUUGACAUCCACAGAACUUUCCAGAGAUGGAUUGGUGCCUUCGGGAACUGUGAGACAGGUGCUGCAUGGCUGUCGUCAGCUCGUGUUGUGAAAUGUUGGGUUAAGUCCCGCAACGAGCGCAACCCUUAUCCUUUGUUGCCAGCGGUUAGGCCGGGAACUCAAAGGAGACUGCCAGUGAUAAACUGGAGGAAGGUGGGGAUGACGUCAAGUCAUCAUGGCCCUUACGACCAGGGCUACACACGUGCUACAAUGGCAUAUACAAAGAGAAGCGACCUCGCGAGAGCAAGCGGACCUCAUAAAGUAUGUCGUAGUCCGGAUUGGAGUCUGCAACUCGACUCCAUGAAGUCGGAAUCGCUAGUAAUCGUAGAUCAGAAUGCUACGGUGAAUACGUUCCCGGGCCU